GAAUAUUGGACAAUGGGCGCAAGCCUGAUCCAGCCAUGCCGCGUGAGUGAAGAAGGCCUUAGGGUUGUAAAGCUCUUUCACCCGUGACGAUGAUGACGGUAGCGGGAGAAGAAGCCCCGGCUAACUCCGUGCCAGCAGCCGCGGUAAUACGGAGGGGGCAAGCGUUGUUCGGAAUUACUGGGCGUAAAGGGCGCGUAGGCGGACCUUCAAGUCAGGGGUGAGAGGCCUGGGCUCAACCUGGGAACUGCCUUUGAAACUGGAGGUCCUGAGUCCGGGAGAGGAUGGCGGAAUUCCCAGUGUAGAGGUGAAAUUCGUAGAUAUUCGGAGGAACACCAGUGGCGAAGGCGGCUCACUGGCUCGAUACUGACGCUGAGGUGCGAAAGCGUGGGGAGCAAACAGG
rnacentral:rRNA from 1 species